rnacentral:siRNA from 1 species
UCCGGUUCAGUUUAGUCCUA